rnacentral:rRNA from 1 species
AGAGAUGUGUGAUGACGCAUAUCAAUAAGCGGAGGAAAAGAAACUAACAAGGAUUCCCUUAGUAACGGCGAGUGAAGCGGGGAGAGCUCAAAUUUGAAAUCUUCAAGGUUUUACCUUGACGAAUUGUAGUUUAAAGAAGUGUUUUCUGUUGGAGUUUUGGUAAAAGUUCUUUGGAAUAGGACAUCAUAGAGGGUGAGAAUCCCGUAUUUGACCAUUAUUUCCAACUUUGUGAUACACUUUCAAAGAGUCGGAUUGUUUGGGAAUGCAGUCCAAAAUGGGUGGUAAAUUUCAUCUAAAGCUAAAUACUGGCGAGAGACCGAUAGCGAACAAGUACCGUGAGGGAAAGAUGAAAAGAACUUUGAAAAGAGAGUUAAACAGUACGUGAAAUUGUCAAAAGGGAAGCGUUUGACACCAGUGUUGUUUUUCCGAAAAUCAAUUACGAAUGUUUUGUUUUUGAGAAGUUAUGACUUCAUCGGCUUGCUUCUUUCUUUACGAAACUUUCUUAAUGCACUUUUCGGUUAACAAGUCAACAUCAAUUUCUUUUGUUGUAAAAGGGUAUGAGGAAGGUGGCUUUCUUUUCGGAGAAAGUGUUUAUAGCCUUGUGCCUCUGCAAUCGGAGAGAUUGAGGUCUGCAGCGUAGAUCCUUCGGGGUUAGAUACGUUUGUGCUAAGUUAUAGCUUUUCAUAGACAACUUGUUGACUAUGUUUAGUCUUGUAGCUUACUCGCUGACGCUAUUUUACCUACGCUUAGGAUGUUGAACUACUGAGACAUAGA